rnacentral:rRNA from 1 species
CAGUAGCGGCGAGCGAACGGGGAGCAGCCCAGAGCCUGAAUCAGUGUGUGUGUUAGUGGAAGCGUCUGGAAAGGCGCGCGAUACAGGGUGACAGCCCCGUACACAAAAAUGCACAUGCUGUGAGCUCGAUGAGUAGGGCGGGACACGUGGUAUCCUGUCUGAAUAUGGGGGGACCAUCCUCCAAGGCUAAAUACUCCUGACUGACCGAUAGUGAACCAGUACCGUGAGGGAAAGGCGAAAAGAACCCCGGCGAGGGGAGUGAAAAAGAACCUGAAACCGUGUACGUACAAGCAGUGGGAGCACGCUUAGGCGUGUGACUGCGUACCUUUUGUAUAAUGGGUCAGCGACUUAUAUUCUGUAGCAAGGUUAACCGAAUAGGGGAGCCGAAGGGAAACCGAGUCUUAACUGGGCGUUAAGUUGCAGGGUAUAGACCCGAAACCCGGUGAUCUAGCCAUGGGCAGGUUGAAGGUUGGGUAACACUAACUGGAGGACCGAACCGACUAAUGUUGAAAAAUUAGCGGAUGACUUGUGGCUGGGGGUGAAAGGCCAAUCAAACCGGGAGAUAGCUGGUUCUCCCCGAAAGCUAUUUAGGUAGCGCCUCGUGAAUUCAUCUCCGGGGGUAGAGCACUGUUUCGGCAAGGGGGUCAUCCCGACUUACCAACCCGAUGCAAACUGCGAAUACCGGAGAAUGUUAUCACGGGAGACACACGGCGGGUGCUAACGUCCGUCGUGAAGAGGGAAACAACCCAGACCGCCAGCUAAGGUCCCAAAGUCAUGGUUAAGUGGGAAACGAUGUGGGAAGGCCCAGACAGCCAGGAUGUUGGCUUAGAAGCAGCCAUCAUUUAAAGAAAGCGUAAUAGCUCACUGGUCGAGUCGGCCUGCGCGGAAGAUGUAACGGGGCUAAACC